AUUGAACGCUGGCGGCAUGCCUUACACAUGCAAGUCGAACGGCAGCAUGAUCUAGCUUGCUAGAUUGAUGGCGAGUGGCGAACGGGUGAGUAAUACAUCGGAACGUGCCCUGUAGUGGGGGAUAACUAGUCGAAAGAUUAGCUAAUACCGCAUACGACCUGAGGGUGAAAGUGGGGGACCGCAAGGCCUCAUGCUAUGGGAGCGGCCGAUGUCUGAUUAGCUAGUUGGUGAGGUAAAGGCUCACCAAGGCGACGAUCAGUAGCUGGUCUGAGAGGACGAUCAGCCACACUGGGACUGAGACACGGCCCAGACUCCUACGGGAGGCAGCAGUGGGGAAUUUUGGACAAUGGGCGAAAGCCUGAUCCAGCAAUGCCGCGUGUGUGAAGAAGGCCUUCGGGUUGUAAAGCACUUUUGUCCGGAAAGAAAUGGCUCUGGUUAAUACCUGGGGUCGAUGACGGUACCGGAAGAAUAAGGACCGGCUAACUACGUG
rnacentral:rRNA from 1 species